ensembl:miRNA
UUGCAAUAGAAUUCGUCCGACAAGGAGUGUGUGUGUGAUUGUCUGUCCUACCGUACUACUUGUACAGUAGAGGAUUGUAGU